GGUGGUGGCUCAGGGGCAGAGCGCUUGCCUAGCACGGGUGAGGCUCUGGGUUCGAUCCUCAGUACCG
rnacentral:tRNA from 1 species